AACAAACGCUGGCGGCGUGCCUAAUACAUGCAAGUCGAACGGGGAAAGUAGCAAUACGAGUACUAGUGGCGCACGGGUGAGGAAUACAUGGGUAAUCUGCCCUCGAGCUCGGGAUAACCAGUCGAAAGACUGGCUAAUACCGGAUAUGACCACAAGAUCUGAGGAUCAAGGGGUAAAAGGUUUUUCGCUUGAGGAUGAGCCCAUGUGGGAUUAGCUAGUUGGUGUAGGUAACGGCUCACCAAGGCGACGAUCCCUAACUGGUCUUAGAGGAUGAUCAGUCACACUGGAACUGAGACACGGUCCAGACUCCUACGGGAGGCAGCAGUAGGGAAUAUUGCACAAUGGAGGAAACUCUGAUGCAGCGACGCCGCGUGAGUGAUGAAGGCCUUCGGUCGUAAAGCUCUGUCGUAUGGGACUAACAAAAUAGAAGGUACCAAUGCAAGAAAGGAAGUACGGCUAACUUACGUGCCAGCAGCCGCG
rnacentral:rRNA from 1 species